GACGAACGCUGGCGGCGUGCUUAACACAUGCAAGUCGAACGGAAAGGCCCUGCUUUUGUGGGGUGCUCGAGUGGCGAACGGGUGAGUAACACGUGAGUAACCUGCCCUUGACUUUGGGAUAACUUCAGGAAACUGGGGCUAAUACCGGAUAGGAGCUCCUGCUGCAUGGUGGGGGUUGGAAAGUUUCGGCGGUUGGGGAUGGACUCGCGGCUUAUCAGCUUGUUGGUGGGGUAGUGGCUUACCAAGGCUUUGACGGGUAGCCGGCCUGAGAGGGUGACCGGACACAUUGGGACUGAGAUACGGCUCAGACUACUACGGGAGGCAGCAGUGGGGAAUAUUGCACAAUGGGCGGAAGCCUGAUGCAGCAACGCCGCGUGCGGGAUGACGGCCUUCGGGUUGUAAACCGAUUUCGCCUGUGACGAAGCGUGAGUGACGGUAAUGGGUAAAGAAGCACCGGCUAACUACGUG
rnacentral:rRNA from 1 species